GCAGCCGCGGUAAUACGUAGGUGGCGAGCGUUAUCCGGAAUCAUUGGGCGUAAAGAGGGAGCAGGCGGCGAUACAGGUCUGUGGUGAAAUUCCGAAGCUAAACUUCGGCCAGCCAAAGAAACCGGAUCGCUAGAGUGCGGAAGAGGAUCGUGGAAUUCCAUGUGUAGCGGUGAAAUGCGUAGAUAUAUGGAGGAACACCAGUGGCGAAGGCGACGGUCUGGGCCGCAACUGACGCUCAUUCCCGAAAGCGUGGGGAGCAAAUAGGAUUAGAUACCCC
rnacentral:rRNA from 1 species